AGUAGAGUGAUCGAAAGAUGAAAAGCACUUUGGAAAGAGAGUUAAAAAGCACGUGAAAUUGUUGAAAGGGAAGCGCUUGCGACCAGACCUGCCCGUUGGCGAUCAACCGCCGUUUUCGGUGGUGCACUCGUCAGCGCGCAGGCCAGCAUCGGUUUGGGCGGUCGGACAAAGGCCUUGGGAAUGUAGCUCCCCUCGGGGAGUCUUUAUAGCCCUCGGUGCAAUGCGGCCAGCCCGGAUCGAGGACCGCGCUUCGGCUAGGAUGCUGGCGUAAUAGUUGCAAGCGACCCGUCUUGAAACACGGACCAAGGAGUCUAACAUCUAUGCGAGUGUUUGGGUGUCAAACCCAUGCGCGCAAUGAAAGUGAACGGAGGUGAGAACCCGUUAGGGUGCAUCAUCGACCGAUCCUGAUGUCUUCGGAUGGAUUUGAGUACGAGCAUAGCUGUUGGGACCCGAAAGAUGGUGAACUAUGCCUGAAUA
rnacentral:rRNA from 1 species